CACACGACUCUCGGCAACGGAUAUCUCGGCUCUCGCAUCGAUGAAGAACGUAGCGAAAUGCGAUACCUGGUGUGAAUUGCAGAAUCCCGCGAACCAUCGAGUCUUUGAACGCAAGUUGCGCCCGAGGCCACUCGGCUGAGGGCACGCCUGCCUGGGCGUCACGC
rnacentral:rRNA from 2 species